CGGCGAGUGAAGCGGCAACAGCUCAAAUUUGAAAUCUGGCCCUUGGGUCCGAAUUGUAAUUUGUAGAGGAUGCUUUUGGUGCGGUGCCUUCCGAGUUCCCUGGAACGGGACGCCAUAGAGGGUGAGAGCCCCGUCUGGUUGGACACCAAUCCUCUGUAAAGCUCCUUCGACGAGUCGAGUAGUUUGGGAAUGCUGCUCUAAAUGGGAGGUAUAUGUCUUCUAAAGCUAAAUACCGGCCAGAGACCGAUAGCGCACAAGUAGAGUGAUCGAAAGAUGAAAAGCACUUUGAAAAGAGGGUUAAAUAGUACGUGAAAUUGUUGAAAGGGAAGCGCUUGUGACCAGACUUGAGCCCGGUUAAUCAUCCAGCCUUCUGGCUGGUGCACUUGGCCGGCUCAGGCCAGCAUCAGUUCGGCGCGGGGGAUAAAGACUUCGGGAAUGUGGCUCCUCCGGGAGUGUUAUAGCCCGUUGUGUAAUACCCUGUACUGGACUGAGGUUCGCGCAUCUGCAAGGAUGCUGGCGUAAUGGUCAUCAGCGACCCGUCUUGAAACACGGACCAAGGAGUCGUCUUCGUAUGCGAGUGUUCGGGUGUCAAACCCCUACGCGUAAUGAAAGUGAACGCAGGUGAGAGCUUCGGCGCAUCAUCGACCGAUCCUGAUGUUCUCGGAUGGAUUUGAGUAAGAGCAUACGGAGCCGGACCCGAAAGAAGGUGAACUAUGCCUGUAUAGGGUGAAGCCAGAGGAAACUCUGGUGGAGGCUCGCAGCGG
rnacentral:rRNA from 1 species